rnacentral:rRNA from 1 species
AAUAUAAAUAUUAUAUAAUUUUAAUAUUUUAAUAUUUUUCUAAAAAUAAUUUAUUAUUAAAGUAAGUUUUAUAGAAAUAAUAAUUAUAAUUAUAGUGAAAUUUACCGUAAGGGAUUUUUUAAUUAAUAAAAAGUAAUCUUUAUUUGGUGUACCUUUUGUAUCAGGGUUAAUUAAUUUAAUUAUUAUAUAAUAUUUUCCCGAAAUUAAAUGAGAUAUUGUUUUAUGUUUUUUAAUAUAUCAAAAUUAUAUAAUAUAAAGCAAUUGAGGUGAUAUACUAUUCGAAUUUAGAUAUCUGGUUUUUUGAGAAUUGAAUUUAAUUCAGACAUUAAUAUAUUUUAAUUCAAAGUUAAUUGAAUUUAUUAAUGUUAAUACUCUUGGGGAUUAGCUCAAGUUUAUUUUUAAAAUAAGAGUAUAAUUAGUAAAUGUAGGCUUAGAAUCAGCCAUCUUUUAAGUCGUUAUAGAUAGUUCUAAUUAUUGAAUUUAUUUAAUUUUUAUUUAAAUUGUUAUCAGAAAUUAUAAAUAAAUUAAUUAUUUUUAGUAAUAAUGAUUAAAUGAGUAUAAUUGUUAUAUAUUUUGUAGGAACUCGGCAAUCUUGAUUUUCGCCUGUUUAACAAAAACAUGUCCUUUAGUUUUUAUUAAAGGUCUAACCUGCCCAAUGAGUAUUGAAUGGCCGCGGUAUUUUGACCGUGCAAAGGUAGCAUAAUCAUUUGUCUUUUAAUUAAGGACUGGUAUGAAUGGUUGGACGAAAUAUUAACUUUCUUCAUUUUAAAAUUAAAAUUUAAUUUUCUAGUCAAAAAGCUAAGAUUUUUUUGGAGGACGAGAAGACCCUAUAGAACUUUACUCAAUUUUUCUAAUCACUUAAUUUUUUUGAUUACUUAAGUGAUUAGGGAGUUGAGUUAUGUUGGGGUGACAUAGAAAUUUUUUUAACUUUCAUUUUAUUAAUUCAUUAAUAAGUGAAUCUUUUGAUCCAAAAUUUUUGAUUAAAAGUUUAAGUUACCUUAGGGAUAACAGCGUAAUUCUUUUGGAGAGUUCAUAUCGAUGAAGGAGUUUGCGACCUCGAUGUUGGAUUAAAAUAAGUGGUAGGAGUAGCAGUUUACUUACUAGGUCUGUUCGACCUUUAAUUUUUUACAUGAUCUGAGUUCAGACCGGCGUGAGCCAGGUUGGUUUCUAUCCUCAAAUAAAAUUUAAUGUUUUAGUACGAAAGGGCCAGACAUUUCAAUAAGAUUGUUAUGUUUUGAAUAAAA